rnacentral:rRNA from 1 species
GAGUUUGAUCCUGGCUCAGAUUGAACGCUGGCGGCAUGCUUUACACAUGCAAGUCGAACGGGGUGAGGGGGCAACUCUUCAUUCAGUGGCGAACGGGUGAGUAAUGCAUCGGAACGUGUCCCGUAGUGGGGGAUAACGCCGCGAAAGCGGCGCUAAUACCGCAUAUGCUCUACGGAGGAAAGCAGGGGACCUGAAAGGGCCUUGUGCUGGGGGAGCGGCCGAUGUCCGAUUAGCUAGUUGGUGGGGUAAAGGCCUACCAAGGCAACGAUCGGUAGCUGGUCUGAGAGGAUGAUCAGCCACACUGGGACUGAGACACGGCCCAGACUCCUACGGGAGGCAGCAGUGGGGAAUUUUGGACAAUGGGGGGCAACCCUGAUCCAGCCAUGCCGCGUGCGGG